CAAUUUUGUAUUAUUUCACUAUUAUUUUCUUUCUCUCUACAAAUACCUGCAAUAGCUUCCACUAUACUCAUUAUACAACCUUACGAAAAACAAUAAAGGAAACCCCUCCCUUGGAUAACAGUUUCCGGGUAGGGUUUUCAGACAAUCCACAUUAAACCCACCAUUAAUGCAACAAGCUGUCUGUACAUGAAUUUUAAGGAAGUAGAAUGAAUUGCAUAAGAACCUACAUAUACACAUUUCCGAUUUUGAAUCCUAAGUUGUCCACAUCAUUGCCCUGAAUGAUAAUCUACAAAGAAACUGAACAGACAUCGAGAAAAUGGAGAUGAAGAAAAAGAAGAAAAAAAGGAAAAUGAUCCUUUCCUUUUUCUUUUUUGACUUUUUCCUCCCCC
rnacentral:lncRNA from 1 species